UGAUCGGGAGGCUGUCAUUGGGACGACAGCCAUGAAUGGAUCAUAAUCUGCCGUCUCGGAUGGUAACGGUGCUGGGGCCCGACAGCACGCGCU
rfam:Pelagicola litorisediminis strain CECT 8287 genome assembly, contig: 0004